UACGGGGGGGGCAAGCGUUGUUCGGAAUUACUGGGCGUAAAGGGUUCGUAGGUGGCCAACUCAGUCAGACGUGAAAUCCCUCAGCUUAACUGGGGAACUGCGUCUGAUACUGGAUGGCUUGAGUUUGGGAGAGGGAUGCGGAAUUCCAGGUGUAGCGGUGAAAUGCGUAGAUAUCUGGAGGAACACCGGUGGCGAAGGCGGGUUGCUGGGCUGAUACUGACGCUGAGGCGCGAAAGCCGGGGAGCGA
rnacentral:rRNA from 1 species